rnacentral:rRNA from 1 species
CCUACGGGUGGCUGCAGUCGAGAAUCAUUCACAAUGGGGGAAACCCUGAUGGGGCGACGCCGCGUGGGGGAAUGAAGGUCUGCGGAUUGUAAACCCCUGUUAUGUGGGAGCAAAUUAAAAAGAUAGUACCACAAGAGGAAGAGACGGCUAACGCGGUGCCAGCAGCCGCGGUAAGACAGAGGUCUCAAGCGUUGUUCGGAAUAACUGGGCGUAAAGUGUGCGUAGGCUGUUUCGUAAGUCGUGGGUGAAAGGCGCGGGCUCAACCCGCGGACGGCACAUGAUACUGCGAGCCUAGAGUAAUGGAGGGGGAACCGGAAUUCUCGGUGUAGCGGUGAAAUGCGUAGAUAUCGAGAGGAACACUCGUGGCGAAGGCAGGUUCCUGGACAUUAACUGACGCUGAGGCACGAAAGCCCGGGGAGCGAAAAGGAUUAGAUACCCUGGUAGUC